rnacentral:rRNA from 1 species
GGGGGGGGGGGGGGGGGGGGGGGGGGGGGGGGGGGGGGGGGGGGGGGGCGGGGGUGGGGGGGGGCGGGGGCGGAACGCGUGGGGGCGUGCCCUGGGGGUCGGAGGAGCGCCGCGGAGGGGGUGCUGAUACCGUAUAAUGUCUUCGGGGCAAAGAGUUAGCGCCUUUGGGUUGGCCCGCGUUGGAUUAGCUCGUUGGUAGGGUAAAAGCCUACCAAGGCGACGAUCCAUAGCUGGUCUGUGAGGAUGAUCAGCCACACUGGGACUGCGACACGGCCCAGACUCCUACGGGAGGCAGCAGUGGGGAAUAUUGGACACUGGGCGAAAGCCUGAUCCAGCAAUGCCGCGUGAGUGAUGAAGGCCUUAGGGUUGUAAAGCUCUUUUACCCGGGAUGAUAAUGACAGUACCGGGAGAAUAAGCUCCGGCUAACUCCGU